GCCUGGCUAGCUCAAUUGGCAGAGCGUGAGACUCUUAAGUUCUUCCUUAGAAGUCAUCUCAAGGUUGGGGGUUCGAGACCCCCGUUAGGCU